CGGCGAGUGAAGCGGCAAUAGCUCAAAUUUGAAAGCUGGCGUCUUCGACGUCCGCGUUGUAAUUUGUAGAGGAUGCUUCGGCGAGGACUCCUGCCUAAGUCCCCUGGAACGGGGCGUCACAGAGGGUGAGAAUCCCGUAUGUGGCGGGCGGUCCGAGCCAUGUGAAGCUCCUUCGACGAGUCGAGUUGUUUGGGAAUGCAGCUCUAAAUGGGAGGUAAAUUUCUUCUAAAGCUAAAUAUUGGCCAGAGACCGAUAGCGCACAAGUAGAGUGAUCGAAAGAUGAAAAGCACUUUGGAAAGAGAGUUAAAAAGUACGUGAAAUUGUUGAAAGGGAAGCGCUUGCAACCAGACUCGCUCGCAGUUGCUCAGCCGGCCUCUUGGCCGGUGUACUCUUCUGUGAUCGGGCCAGCAUCAGUUCGGGCGGCCGGAUAAAGGUGUCGGGAAUGUAGCACCCUUCGGGGUGUGUUAUAGCCCGGCGCGGAAUGCGGCCAGCCUGGACUGAGGAUCUCGCUUCGGCAAGGAUGCUGGCGUAAUGGUUGUAAGCGGCCCGUCUUGAAACACGGACCAAGGAGUCUAACAUCUAUGCGAGUGUUUGGGUGUCAAACCCAUGCGCGUAAUGAAAGUGAACGGAGGUGGGAACCCCUCGCGGGGUGCACCAUCGACCGAUCCUGAUGUCUUCGGAUGGAUUUGAGUAAGAGCAUAGCUGUUGGGACCCGAAAGAUGGUGAACUAUGCCUGAAUAGGGUGAAGCCAGAGGAAACUCUG
rnacentral:rRNA from 1 species